UACAGAGGUCUCAAGUGUUGUUCGGAUUCAUUGGGCGUAAAGGGUGCGUAGGUGGCGCGGUAAGUCGGGUGUGAAAUUUCGGAGCUUAACUCCGAAACUGCAUUCGAUACUGCCGUGCUUGAGGACUGGAGAGGAGACUGGAAUUUACGGUGUAGCAGUGAAAUGCGUAGAGAUCGUAAGGAAGACCAGUGGCGAAGGCGGGUCUCUGGACAGUUCCUGACACUGAGGCACGAAGGCCAGGGGAGCAAACGGG
rnacentral:rRNA from 1 species